GGUGGCUUUCCUGCCAGCCAACAUUUGCCAAGUAUCUGUGUGUGCCAGGCCAUGCUGGGUGCCCAGAACUUGGCAGCAGCUCUGACACUGUUUCUGUCCUCAGGGAGCUCGGGGGCUGGUGGGAGUUUCAGGCAGGUGAGUCACCAGUCUUGACAAGUGGUUUAUUUGUUUGAAUAGGUGGUGCAGGCGUGUGGUUAAAAACCACAAACUGCAUGGAAGGAUACGUGCAGGAUACCCCUGUCUCUCGGUCACCUUCUCCUCACUGGAGGCAGCCACUAUUGUUAGUCCUGGCCGUGUCCUCCCGCAGAUGGUCCAUGCAUUCAAAAGCAGAUCUCCUCAAGAAACAAAGCAAGCCAGAACCCAAUCCACAUACCGCACGACUGGCGCCUCCAACAGAAUCUUCUGUCUGCAUUUUGCACUGACCAGCAUUUCUGGGAGAUAAUUACAUAUCACUUGGAGAUGGGCACCCCGUUAAUUUCGCUCCACAGGCGAGGAGGCCAGGGGAAUGCCCCAUUGUGUGAUGAGGCCUCAUGGACUUCCACGGCCACUCCUGAUGGACAUGUGGGAUGUUUCUGGGCGGUGAGCACUCUUGUACUUUUAUCUCUGGGCACUUGUAUCUCAGAGGAUAAAUGCAUGGAAGCGAAUGGCUGG